rnacentral:lncRNA from 1 species
CAAUGAGGAUGUUUAAUACAUAGAUUCUGAUCAUUUGUUCUAUAUUUAGCUCUGUUCUGGGCAGUGAGGAAUUUAGAUGAACCACAGGGUUUGCCCUGAAGAGGUUUAUAGCUCAGGGAGGAGACAGACAAAGGGACAGUUGUGAUACAAUGUGAUGAGCGCCAUGAUGAAGCAGGUACAAGAUCUACGUGGGUGGGAGUGGAGCAAGGUUGCUAGAGAGCACUACCCUUCAACAGAGUUUUGGACAUGAUGAGUUAUAGUAGANGAUACAAUGUUGAGCGCCAUGAUGAAGCAGGUACAAGAUCUAUGUGGGUGGGAAUGGAGCAAGGUUGCUAGAGAGCACUACACCUGAACAGAGUCUUGGACAUGAUGAGUUAUAGUAGAAAGGGAAGGAAAGAGGGAUGGGAGACGGAGAAGGGCAGAGGGAUCAGCAUGUGGAGGUGUCAUGAUGGCCCACGCUGCUGCCGUGUUACACUAUGUACUGUGCCUCCUGCUGGAACUGCUCUUACUUCUCACUUACUUAAAACCUGUUCAAACAUCGCCAGCUCUUACAGGAUAGGUCUCUCCACCCUUCUCCGAUCCCUACCACCUUGAUGGUUCUCCUAAUAAACUGCUUACUGCAGAGUAUCUUAAUUAUUUC